GAGGAAUGUCACUCGCACUUUGGCUCAGUAAUCUAACAAAUUUAAUUAAUGUCUGGUCCACAGCCGAACCUUGUGAUUAACUAGAGGACAGUAAACGUGAAUGCCACUAAAUACUUAUUUAAAGAAAAGGACACGAAGCGAGUUCGAGGAAUCUGCAGAACUGGCAGUUGUCAAAGGACGAGCAUGCAGACCAAAACAGACAGCAGAACAACAGCAAGAAAAGCACAUAAAAUGGACAAAGAUUCACACACACACGCACGCUGGCAAGUAAAGCGGAAACUAGGAACGCUAACGGAAAUGCAGCAGCUUUAUAAGGAAACAGCUUGGACAAGUUGGCAAGGCAGAAAAACAGAAAGAGAGACAGAUAGAAUAGCACAGGCAAGGAGCAAGCUGGCCUGGCAGUCAAGUGGCCCUGGUUUCAACUAAAACUAGACGCCCGAGUUGUUAUUUCUGAUUUUGUUGGUUUUACAGUUAACGGACUCUCAGCUGUGGCAUGCUUCGUAAAGCUGCAAUGGGCGGCACUUGGCGGCUGACUUUGAUUCUAUUUAAAGCAAACAACACACACAAAUGAUGCCCCGUUCGUGCCUUGUCUUGCCCAACUGAACUUCGACUACUGUUACUGCAACUGCAACUGUAACUGCAAUACCAUUAAAGUAAAUUAUGUGGCAAAUGACAAAUGCAACGUUGAAAGCAAAAAGAGGAAACAGAGGAAAACGUAGAACCGCAAAACUUAGCAAUGAUGCAUAAGUGUUCAUGUAUUUCGGCAUUACUUAAACUCAACAUGGAAGCGCAACGCAAAAGUUUCUUAAACAUUUUCCCGACGCUCGUCAUCUGUCAGCAUCAGCAUCAGCAUCAGUAUCAGCGUCAGCGUCAUUGGCGUUGUGUUCAUAAAACCAAAAACCACCUUUGGGCCAAUGGGAACUGGCAAUGGCAUUGAACACUGUCAAGGGGAUGUUUGUGCCAAUUUUAUUGAAAUUGCGUAAGUGUUGCUCCUCUGUCGUCACACAGUCAAAGAGUCUUUCCGCUGAUGCAUUUACCUAUCACCUGCCUUGUUUUUACAUUUUCUUUUUUCUCCUCUCUACUUCUGUUUCAUUUCUGUUUCUGGCUGUCACUUCCGUCACUUUGAUGUGGGUGCCGUGAUAUUGAACUGAAAAUUCUUCGAAAUGUUUAAUGAAAAAUCUCGGUGAUUAAACAAUCGAUGGCGAUCAACACAACUGAUGAAAUAUGUUCUUAAUUGAUGGAAAAAUUAAAUUGUAAUGCUUCCAGUUUUGUGUUAAUUCUUGAAAAGUCACUUUGCAUUAUUUUCAAUAUUAAUUCAAAAUACAUUUCUUGCAAAGUAUCUGCUACCGCAAGA